rnacentral:rRNA from 1 species
UACGGGGGGAGCAAGCGUUGUUCGGAUUUACUGGGCGUAAAGGGCGCGUAGGCGGCCAGCACAAGUCAGUUGUGAAAUCUCCGAGCUUAACUCGGAACGGGCAACUGAUACUGUGCGGCUAGAGUGCGGAAGGGGCAACUGGAAUUCUUGGUGUAGCGGUGAAAUGCGUAGAUAUCAAGAGGAACACCUGCGGCGAAGGCGGGUUGCUGGGCCGACACUGACGCUGAGGCGCGAAAGCCAGGGGAGCGAACGGG